rnacentral:rRNA from 1 species
GACGAACGCUGGCGGCGUGCCUAAUACAUGCAAGUUGAGCGAUGAAGAUUGGUGCUUGCACCAAUUUGAAGAGCAGCGAACGGGUGAGUAACGCGUGGGGAAUCUGCCUUUGAGCGGGGGACAACAUUUGGAAACGAAUGCUAAUACCGCAUAACAACUUUAAACAUAAGUUUUAAGUUUGAAAGAUGCAAUUGCAUCACUCAAAGAUGAUCCCGCGUUGUAUUAGCUAGUUGGUGAGGUAAAGGCUCACCAAGGCGAUGAUACAUAGCCGACCUGAGAGGGUGAUCGGCCACAUUGAGACUGAGACACGGCCCAAACUCCUACGGGAGGCAGCAGUAGGGAAUCUUCGGCAAUGGACGAAAGGCUGACCGAGCAACGCCGCGUGAGUGAAGAAGGUUUUCGGAUCGUAAAACUCUGUUGGUAGAGAAGAACGUUGGUGAGAGUGGAAAGCUCAUCAAGUGACGGUAACUACCCAGAAAGGGACGGCUAACUACGUG